AACGAACGCUGGCGGCGCGUCUUAAGCAUGCAAGUCGAACGGCAAGAUUGGUGCUUGCACCGAUCCUAGAGUGGCGGACUGGUGAGUAACGCGUGGGUGACGUACCCUAAGGAUGGGGAUAGCUGGUAGAAAUAUCAGAUAAUACCGAAUAUCCUUCUGGUUGUUAGAGGACAGUAAGGAAAGGAGCUUUUGCUUCGCCUAUGGAUCGGCCCGCGUACUAUUAGCUAGUUGGUGAGGUAACGGCUCACCAAGGCGACGAUAGUUAUCCGGACUAAGAGGGUGAACGGACACAUUGGGACUGAGAUACGGCCCAGACUCCUACGGGAGGCAGCAGCUAAGAAUAUUCCGCAAUGGAGGAAACUCUGACGGAGCGACGCCGCGUGGAUGAUGAAGGCCGGAAAGUUGUAAAAUCCUUUUAAGCAAGAAGAAUAAACUUUAUAGGGAAUGGUAGAGUGGUGACGGUAUUGCUUGAAUAAGCAACGGCUAAUUACGUGCCAGCAGCCGCAGUAAAAC
rnacentral:rRNA from 1 species